rnacentral:lncRNA from 1 species
AGAUAUUACACGUUUGCUGGAAAAGGAACUGCGUUGGUGACAUGGAUGGUGUUUAAAGAUGUGACUCUAUCAUUUAGAAUGAUGAUUGAUCAGCCAACAUCACCAGAUAUGGAUUUGACAAUGUCAUUGAUAGAACGAUACGUGGUUUUGUUGUACGAUCGAACAAACUUAUCAGAUGGGGUUAACGAAGCAAGAAAAAAUGUGUUUUUGGAAGAGGAAAUACUUAUUGAGGCUAUUCCCACGACUCGGUCUAGUCUUUUUCAGCAAGUAAAACGUGCAAUAUACCAUGGCGGAUGUGAAUGAGUAACAAGCUUGGUAUUGGUUCCUUUUCUAACUAGUCCAUCCCUUAUGAAUGGCGAAGGGGAAAAUAUUAUCCAUGGCACCCUUUUCAACAACUCUUUUGUGAGGCCUCUUAAUCUUAUCAGGAGCUUGUACAUUAUAGAUGUAGGAAACAAUACCACGAUCUUUGUAAAUUUGGAAAAUAAGCUCUCCGAUUGUGAGUAAACAUGUAUAUGCGGCCAUAAAUAAGUCAUUCUAAAGAUGUUUAACAACUUUAGUGAUUUUAUUUUGUUUUAAUCAAUCUAUCCAAAACUCUACAUCGAAUAUAUGGAUUGAGGACUCAUCUUUGUAAUUUUCGCCAUAUUGAUUUUUUACCGGAA